rnacentral:rRNA from 1 species
CUGACCGUGCAAAGGUAGCAUAAUCAUUUGCCUUAUAAUUGAAGGCUAGUAUGAAUGGUUUGACAUGAAUGUAGCUGUCUCUUUAUAAUUUAAUAGAAUUUUAUCUUUAGGUGAAGAAGCCUGAAUUUAAUUAAAAGACAAGAAGACCCUAUCGAGCUUGAAAAGAAUUGAUGGAAUCAAAAAUUAAUACAACUAAAAAAUUAUCUAUCACAAAUUUUAGUUGGGGCGACUGAGGAACAUAAAAAGCUUCCUUUAAAAUAUUAGUUUAAGUCAAACUAGAAUUGAUCCAGAAUAUUUUGAUUAAAGGAAUUAGUUACCGUAGGGAUAACAGCAUUAUCUUUUUUAAGAGCUCAUAUCGAAAAAAAGGUUUGUGACCUCGAUGUUGGACCAGAAUAUCCUAAAGGUGUAGCAGCC